GAUGAACGCUAGCGGCAGGCUUAACACAUGCAAGUCGAGGGGUAGAAGGAGCUUGCUCCUUUGAGACCGGCGCACGGGUGCGUAACGCGUAUGCAAUCUACCUUUUGCAGAGGGAUAGCCCAGAGAAAUUUGGAUUAAUACCUCAUAGUAUGUGAGGAUGGCAUCAUUUUCACAUUAAAGUCACAACGGCAAAAGAUGAGCAUGCGUCCCAUUAGCUAGUUGGUAAGGUAACGGCUUACCAAGGCUACGAUGGGUAGGGGUCCUGAGAGGGAGAUCCCCCACCACUGGUACUGAGACACGGACCAGACUCCUACGGGAGGCAGCAGUGAGGAAUAUUGGUCAAUAGGGCGCAAGCCUGAACCAGCCAUGCCGCGUGCAGGAAGACGGUCCUAUGGAUUGUAAACUGCUUUUAUACAGGAAGAAACCCUCCCACGUGUGGGAGCUUGACGGUACUGUAGGAAUAAGGAUCGGCUAA
rnacentral:rRNA from 1 species